rnacentral:rRNA from 1 species
AUAUAACUAAGCGGAGGAAAAGAAACUAACAAGGAUUCCCUCAGUAACGGCGAGUGAAGCGGGAAAAGCUCAGACUGAAAACCUUCGGGAAUGUAGUCUGGAGAUGGGACAUCGAAGCUCAGGAAGUCGAUAAAGUGGUCUGGAAUGACACGCCGUGGAGGGUGACAGCCCCGUUCGUAUCGAUGGAAAGAGUUAGUAGAUGCCUGUCAACGAGUCGAGUUGUUUGGGAUUGCAGCUCAAAGCGGGAGGUAAAUUCCUUCUAAAGCUAAAUACGGAUAGGAGACCGAUAGCAAACAAGUACCGUGAGGGAAAGAUGAAAAGCACUUUGAAAAGAGAGUGAAAUAGUACGUGAAAUUGCUGAAAGGGAAACGCUUGAAGUCAGUCGCGUCGACCGAGACUCAGCCUUGCCUCGGCUUGGUGUACUUCUCGGCUGACGGGUCAGCAUCAAUUUCGCCCCUUGGAUAAUGGCGAGGGAAAUGUGACACCUUUGCGGUGUGUUAUAGUCUCUCGUCGCAUGCAAGGGUUGGGAUUGAGGAACUCAGCACGCGCCUUUGGGUGUCGGGGCUUUGCCCACGAUACGUGCUUAGGAUGUUGGCGUAAUGGCUUUAAACGA